CAGAGCUUCAGUUUUCAAUUCCGAGCGUCUCGAUAUACUACGGGAACAAUCGGAAAUCCGAGUAAAAAGUUAUUGUCGUUUGAAUUUGCUUAGUGCUUCUGUUUUCAAUUUCGAGCGUCUCGAUAUUUGACGGUGCUCUAUCCGACAUCCGAGUUAAAAGUUAUUGUCGUUUGAUUUUUCUAAGAGCUUCCCUUUUCAAUUACGAGCGUCUCGAUAUACUACGGGACACAAUCGGACAUCCGAGUAAAAAGUUAUUGUCGUUUCAAUUUGCUCAGUGCUUCUGUUUUCAAUUACGAGCGUCUCGAUAGAUUACGGGACUCAAUCGGACAUCCGAGUAAA
rnacentral:lncRNA from 1 species